rnacentral:rRNA from 1 species
AACGAACGCUGGCGGCAGGCUUAACACAUGCAAGUCGAACGAGAUCUUCGGAUCUAGUGGCAGACGGGUGAGGAACACGUGGGAACAUUCCUUUCAGUUCGGAAUAACGUUGGGAAACUAACGCUAAUACCGGAUACGUCCUUCGGGAGAAAGAUUUAUCGCUGAAAGAUUGGCUCGCGUCUGAUUAGCUAGUUGGUGAGGUUAAGGAUCACCAAGGCUAGGAUCAAUAGCUGAUCUGAGAGGAUGAUCAGCCAGAUUUGGACUGAGACUCGGUCCAAAAUUCUACGAGAGGCAGCAAUGAGGAAUUUUGGACAAGUGGCGCAAGCCUGUUCCAGCCAUGACGCGAAAGUAAUGACAGCCUUCGGGUUGUAAAGCUCUUUUGUCCGGGAAGAUAAUGUCUGUACCGGAAGAAUAAGCCCCGGCAAACGUCGUGCCAGCCGCCACAGUAA